AGAGUUUGAUCCUGGCUCAGGAUGAACGCUAGCUACAGGCUUAACACAUGCAAGUCGAGGGGAAACGAUAUUGGAAGCUUGCUUCCGAUAGGCGUCGACCGGCGCACGGGUGAGUAACGCGUAUCCAACCUGCCCACCACUUGGGGAUAACCUUGCGAAAGUAAGACUAAUACCCAAUGACGUCUCUAGAAGACAUCUGAAAGAGAUUAAAGAUUUAUCGGUGAUGGAUGGGGAUGCGUCUGAUUAGCUUGGUUGGCGGGGUAACGGCCCACCAAGGGCUACGAUCAGUAGGGGGUUCUGAGAGGAAGGUCCCCCACAUUGGAACUGAGACACGGUCCAAACUCCUACGGGAGGCA
rnacentral:rRNA from 1 species